rnacentral:rRNA from 1 species
CCUACGGGGGGCAGCAGUGGGGAAUAUUGCACAAUGGGGGCAACCCUGAUCCAGCCAUGCCGCGUGUGUGAAGAAGGCCCUCGGGUUGUAAAGCACUUUCAGUGAGGAAGAACGCCUGGUGGUUAAUACCCAUCAGGAAAGACAUCACUCACAGAAGAAGCACCGGCUAACUCCGUGCCAGCAGCCGCGGUAAUACGGAGGGUGCGAGCGUUAAUCGGAAUUACUGGGCGUAAAGCGCGCGUAGGUGGCUUGAUAAGCCGGUUGUGAAAGCCCCGGGCUCAACCUGGGAACGGCAUCCGGAACUGUCAAGCUAGAGUGCAGGAGAGGAAGGUAGAAUUCCCGGUGUAGCGGUGAAAUGCGUAGAGAUCGGGAGGAAUACCAGUGGCGAAGGCGGCCUUCUGGACUGACACUGACACUGAGGUGCGAAAGCGUGGGUAGCAAACAGGAUUAGAUACCCCGGUAGUC